UAGCAUAUCAAUAAGCGGAGGAAAAGAAACCAACAGGGAUUGCCCUAGUAACGGCGAGUGAAGCGGCAACAGCUCAAAUUUGAAAUCUGGCUCUUUCAGAGUCCGAGUUGUAAUUUGCAGAGGGCGCUUUGGCUUUGGCAGCGGUCCAAGUUCCUUGGAACAGGACGUCACAGAGGGUGAGAAUCCCGUACGUGGUCGCUAGCUAUUGCCGUGUAAAGCCCCUUCGACGAGUCGAGUUGUUUGGGAAUGCAGCUCUAAAUGGGAGGUAAAUUUCUUCUAAAGCUAAAUAUUGGCCAGAGACCGAUAGCGCACAAGUAGAGUGAUCGAAAGAUGAAAAGCACUUUGGAAAGAGAGUCAAACAGCACGUGAAAUUGUUGAAAGGGAAGCGCUUGCAGCCAGACUUGCUUGCAGUUGCUCAUCCGGGCUUUUGCCCGGUGCACUCUUCUGUAGGCAGGCCAGCAUCAGUUUGGGCGGUGGGAUAAAGGUCUCUGUCACGUACCUCUCUUCGGGGAGGCCUUAUAGGGGAGACGACAUACCACCAGCCUAGACUGAGGUCCGCGCAUCUGCUAGGAUGCUGGCGUAAUGGCUGUAAGCGGCCCGUCUUGAAACACGGACCAAGGAGUCUAACAUCUAUGCGAGUGUUUGGGUGUCAAGCCCGAGCGCGUAAUGAAAGUGAACGGAGGUGGGAACCCGCAAGGGUGCACCAUCGACCGAUCCUGAAGUUUACGGAAGGAUUUGAGUAAGAGCAUGGCUGUUGGGACCCGAAAGAUGGUGAACUAUGCUUGAAUAGGGUGAAGCCAGAGGAAACUCUGGUGGAGGCUCGCAGCGGUUCUGACGUGCAAAUCGAUCGUCAAAUUUGGGCAUAGGGGCGAAAGACUAAUCGAACUAUCUAGUAGCUGGUUCCUGC
rnacentral:rRNA from 1 species